rnacentral:rRNA from 1 species
CCCCUAGAUGUUCUGGGCCGCACGCGCGCUACAUUGAACAGUUCAACAAGUCUUAACCUUGGCCGAUAGGUCUGGGUAAUCUUUGAACGCUGUUCGUGAUUGGGAUAGACCUUUGCAAUUAUGGGUCUUCAACGAGGAAUUCCUAGUAAACGCAAGUCAUCAGCUUGCAUUGAUUACGUCCCUGCCCUUUGUACACACCGCCCGUCGCACCUACCGAUUGAAUGGUCCGGUGAAAUCUCGGGACGGCGGCUUGGUCGCUUGCGUCCGACUGCUGAAACUUGAUUAAACCAUAUCAUUUAGAGGAAGGUGAAGUCGUAACA